rnacentral:snoRNA from 1 species
AAUCACAGCACCCAAGGGUGCUAUGUCUGUGGUUCCGUUGGCCUUGAUGCUGUGCUAGAGUAAAGUCUAUCCUUUCCCUCUGUAUUGAAAGGAGGACUGUGUCCUUUUAAGCGUAUUCAGAAAAUCAGCACAUCA